rnacentral:rRNA from 1 species
UACGUAGGGUCCGAGCGUUGUCCGGAAUUAUUGGGCGUAAAGGGCUCGUAGGCGGUUUGUCGCGUCGGGAGUGAAAACUCGGAGCUCAACUCCGAGCCUGCUUCCGAUACGGGCAGACUAGAGGUAGGCAGGGGAGAGCGGAACUCCUGGUGUAGCGGUGGAAUGCGCAGAUAUCAGGAAGAACACCAGUGGCGAAGGCGGCGUCCUGGACUGGUACUGACGCUCAGGAGCGAAAGCGUGGGGAGCGAUCCGG